rnacentral:rRNA from 1 species
CGUCUAGGCGGUCAGGCAAGUGGGAUGUGAAAUGCCCCGGCUCACCCGGGGACCGGCAUCUCAUACUGCUUGGCUUGAGUACGGGAGAGGAUGUGGGAAUUCCUGGUGUAGCGGUGAAAUGCGUAGAUAUCAGGAGGAACACCGGUGGCGAAGGCGCACAUCUGGCCCGAUACUGACGCUGAAGCGCGAAAGCUAGGGGAGCAAACG